rnacentral:rRNA from 1 species
GACGAACGCUGGCGGCGUGCUUAACACAUGCAAGUCGAACGGAAAGGCCCUGCUUGCAGGGUACUCGAGUGGCGAACGGGUGAGUAACACGUGGGUGAUCUGCCCUGCACUUCUGGAUAUGCCUUUGAAACUGGGUCUAUUACCUGAUAGGAGCCCUUUUUAGUGUGAUUGUUGGUAAGUUUUUUCGGUGUAGGAUGUGCUCGCUGCCUAUCAGCUUGUUGGUGGGGUAAUGGCCUACCAAGGCGGCGACGGGUAGCCGGCCUGAGAGGGUGGACGGCCAAAAUGGGACUGAGAUACGGAACAGACGCCAACGGGAGGCAGCAGAGGGGAAUAUUGCAGAAUGGGCGGAAGCCUGAUGCAGCGACGCGGCGUGGGGGAUGACGGCCUUCGGGUUGUAAACUCCUUUCGCUAGGGACGAAGCUUUUGUGACGGUAACUAGAUAAGAAGCACCGGCUAACUACGUG